rnacentral:rRNA from 1 species
AUUGAACGCUGGCGGCAGGCCUAACACAUGCAAGUCGAGCGGAUGAAGGGAGCUUGCUCCUGGAUUCAGCGGCGGACGGGUGAGUAAUGCCUAGGAAUCUGCCUGGUAGUGGGGGAUAACGUCCGGAAACGGGCGCUAAUACCGCAUACGUCCUGAGGGAGAAAGUGGGGGAUCUUCGGACCUCACGCUAUCAGAUGAGCCUAGGUCGGAUUAGCUAGUUGGUGGGGUAAAGGCCUACCAAGGCGACGAUCCGUAACUGGUCUGAGAGGAUGAUCAGUCACACUGGAACUGAGACGCGGUCCAGACUCCUACGGGAGGCAGCAGUGGGGAAUAUUGGACAAUGGGCGAAAGCCUGAUCCAGCCAUGCCGCGUGUGUGAAGAAGGUCUUCGGAUUGUAAAGCACUUUAAGUUGGGAGGAAGGGCAGUAAGCUAAUACCUUGCUGUUUUGACGUUACCAACAGAAUAAGCACCGGCUAACUUCGUG